CUGGUUGAUCCUGCCAGAGGCCAUUGCUAUUGGAGUCCGAUUUAGCCAUGCUAGUCGCACGGGUUUAGACCCGUGGCGGACAGCUCAGUAACACGUGGCCAAGCUACCCUCUGGACUGGAACACUCUCGGGAAACUGAGGCUAAUUCCAGAUAUGGCUUCCACCCUGGAAUGGGGGAAGCCGAAAACGCUCCGGCGCCAGAGGAUGCGGCUGCGGCCGAUUAGGUAGACGGUGGGGUAACGGCCCACCGUGCCGAUAAUCGGUACGGGUCAUGAGAGUGAGAGCCCGGAGACGGUAUCUGAGACAAGAUACCGGGCCCUACGGGGCGCAGCAGGCGCGAAACCUUUACACUGCGCGACAGCGCGAUAGGGGGACUCCAAGUGCGAGGGCAUAUCGUCCUCGCUUUUCUGUACCGUAAGGUGGUACAGGAAUAAGAGCUGGGCAAGACCGGUGCCAGCCGCCGCGGUAACACCGGCAGCUCGAGUGAUGGCCGCUCUUAUUGGGCCUAAAGCGUCCGUAGCCGGCCGGAUAAGUCCGUCGGGAAAUCCAUCCGCUUAACGGAUGGGCGUCCGGCGGAAACUGUUCGGCUUGGGACCGGAAGACCCGGGGGGUACGUCUUGGGUAGGAGUGAAAUCCUGUAAUCCUGGACGGACCGCCGGUGGCGAAAGCGCCUCGGGAGGACGGAUCCGACGGUGAGGGACGAAAGCUAGGGUCACGAACCGGAUUAGAUACCCGGGUAGUCCUAGCCGUAAACGAUGGCUCGCUAGGUGUGGCGCAGGCUACGAGCCUGCGCUGUGCCGUAGGGAAGCCGUGAAGCGAGCCGCCUGGGAAGUACGUCCGCAAGGAUGAAACUUAAAGGAAUUGGCGGGGGAGCACUACAACCGGAGGAGCCUGCGGUUUAAUUGGACUCAACGCCGGACAUCUCACCAGUCCCGACAGUAGCUGUGAAGGUCAGUAUGAAGAGCUUACUGGAGCUACUGAGAGGAGGUGCAUGGCCGCCGUCAGCUCGUACCGUGAGGCGUCCUGUUAAGUCAGGCAACGAGCGAGACCCGCACCCUUAAUUGCCAGCGACGCCGUGAGGCGGUCGGGUACAUUAGGGGGACUGCCGUGGCCAACACGGAGGAAGGAACGGGCAACGGUAGGUCAGUAUGCCCCGAAUGGACUGGGCGACACGCGGGCUACAAUGGCCGGGACAAUGGGAUGCUACCCCGAGAGGGGGCGCUAAUCUCCUAAACCCGGUCGUAGUUCGGAUUGAGGGCUGAAGCUCGCCCUCAUGAAGCUGGAUUCGGUAGUAGUCGCGUCUCAGAAGGGCGCGGCGAAUACGUCCCUGCUCCUUGCACACACCGCCCGUCAAAGCACCCGAGUGGGGUCCGGAUGAGGCCGCCGUACGGCGGUCGAAUCUGGGCUCCGCAAGAGGGCUUAAGUCGUAACAAGGUAACCA
rnacentral:rRNA from 1 species